CGAUAUUCAAACGGCAACAGUAUUUCUGCAGUUGGAUAUUCGGUGAACCCAUCAUGAAGGCCAACCUGGGAAAGAAUCUUGCUAUGGUUGUCGCUAUCGUUUUAGCGGUAUUAAUUGUGGUGCCCAGCCAAGUCGACGCGGUCUUCUUUGGACCACACACUGGGAGAAAAGACUGGGAGCCGGCUGAGUGAAUCUUCGGUCUGGGUUUUUUGGUUGAGGUAGAAAGAACCGCUGUACUAUGCAGUGAAAUAAACUAAUAGA